GCCGGGUUGGCUCACUUGGUUAAGGCGCUGCACUCGGGGAGCAGUGGUGACUACCACGGCGCGGGUUCGAUCCCUGGUCGUACCAACCGGCA